rnacentral:rRNA from 1 species
GGUGAGUAACACGUGAGUAACCUGCCCCUGACUCCGGGAUAAGCCUGGGAAACUGGGUCUAAUACUGGAUAUGACUACUGGCCGCAUGGUCUGGUGGUGGAAAGAUUUAUCGGUUGGGGAUGGACUCGCGGCCUAUCAGCUUGUUGGUGAGGUAGUGGCUCACCAAGGCGACGACGGGUAGCCGGCCUGAGAGGGUGACCGGCCACACUGGGACUGAGACACGGCCCAGACUCCUACGGGAGGCAGCAGUGGGGAAUAUUGCACAAUGGGCGCAAGCCUGAUGCAGCGACGCCGCGUGAGGGAUGACGGCCUUCGGGUUGUAAACCUCUUUCAGUUGGGAAGAAGCCUUUCGGGGUGACGGUACCUUCAGAAGAAGCGCCGGCUAACUACGUGCCAGCAGCCGCGGUAAUACGUAGGGCGCGAGCGUUAUCCGGAAUUAUUGGGCGUAAAGAGCUCGUAGGCGGUUUGUCGCGUCUGCCGUGAAAGUCCGGGGCUUAACUCCGGAUCUGCGGUGGGUACGGGCAGACUAGAGUGCAGUAGGGGAGACUGGAACUCCUGGUGUAGCGGUGAAAUGCGCAGAUAUCAGGAAGAACACCGAUGGCGAAGGCAGGUCUCUGGGCUGUAACUGACGCUGAGGAGCGAAAGCAUGGGGAGCGAACAGGAUUAGAUACCCUGGUAGUCCAUGCCGUAAACGUUGGGCACUAGGUGUGGGGGACAUUCCACGUUUUCCGCGCCGUAGCUAACGCAUUAAGUGCCCCGCCUGGGGAGUACGGCCGCAAGGCUAAAACUCAAANGAAUUGACGGGGGCCCGCACAAGCGGCGG